GCUAGUAAUGGCAGGUCAGCAUACNGUUUCCGNGAAUACGUUCCCGGGCCUUGUACACACCGCCCGUCACACCAUGAGAGUUGGAAAUACCCGAAGCCUGUGAGCUAACUUAAGGGAGGCAGCAGUCGAAGGUAGAGCCAAUGAUUGGGGUGAAGUCGUAACAAGGUAUC
rnacentral:rRNA from 1 species